rnacentral:lncRNA from 1 species
UGAGGAAAAUGGAUUGAGGAGGAACAAUAUCACACCCAGGCAGACCUAAGGCUUCACUAGGUUGAAGAUCCUAGUUUCUGGAGGAUGGAGGAUGAUGAAUGUUUCCAUCAAGGGAUACACUAAGUGGUCCAUUGAACCUGAAACUAUAUACUGCCACUUUGUCACUUAGAGAUUCUCAUGCCAAAGGACCAGCAGACAAAGAAAGGACUACUAUACUAGAAAACCAGGCUUACUGCCCCCAUUGAGCUGAUCUGAUUUGCUCCUCAGGCCAUUUGGCUCAUCUCCUCUUGUUCACUUGGUACAUAAAAUGUCAGCUGAGCUAGUGUGGCCAAGGUAACAUUGAAAAUCUGUGUGGCAUGGUGAGCAUU